rnacentral:rRNA from 1 species
GUGAGGAAUAUUGGUCAAUGGGCGAAAGCCUGAACCAGCCAUGUCGCGUGAAGGAUGAAGGUCCUAUGGAUUGUAAACUUCUUUUGCAGGAGGGUAAAGUGAGCUACGUGUAGUUCAUUGCAAGUACCCUGCGAAUAAGUAUCGGCUAACUCCGUGCCAGCAGCCGCGGUAAUACGGAGGAUGCGAGCGUUAUCCGGAUUUAUUGGGUUUAAAGGGUGCGUAGGCGGACUAAUUAGUCAGCGGUGAAAUUUUGCGGCUCAACCGUAAAACUGCCGUUGAAACUGUUAGUCUUGAGUGCGGUAGAGGUAGGCGGAAUGUGUGGUGUAGCGGUGAAAUGCUUAGAUAUCACACAGAACACCGAUUGCGUAGGCAGCUUACUGGAGCGCAACUGACGCUGAGGCACGAAAGCGUGGGGAUCGAACAGGAUUAGAUACCCCUGUAGUCC